CUUGGUUGGUCCUGCCAGUAGUCAUAUGCUUGUCUCAAAGAUUAAACCAUGCACGUGUAAGUAUGAACUAAUUUAAACUGUGAAACUGCGAAUGGUUUAUUAAAUCGGUUAUAAUUUGUUUGAUGGUAUCUACUACUUGGAUAAUUGUCAUAAUUCUAGAGCUAAUACGUGCAACAAACCCUAACUUCUAGAAGGGAUGCAUUUAUUAGAUAAAAGGUCAAUACGAGCUUUACCUGUUGCUUUAAUGGUUCAUGAUAACUCGAUGGAUCACAUAAACUUUGUGCUAACAACGUGCCAUUCAAAUUUUUGCCCUAUCAACUUUCGAUGGUAGGAUAGUAGCCUACUAUGGUGGUGAUGGGUGAUGGAGAAUUAAGGUUAGAUUCUAGAAAAAGAGCCUAAGAAAUGACUACCACAUCCAAGGAAGGCUAUAGGCAUGCAAAUUACCUAAUCUUGACUCGGAGAGGUAUUGACAAUAAAUAGCAAUAUUGAGCUCCAUGAGUCUAGUAAUUAGAAUGAGUACAAUCUAAAUCCUUUAACGAAGAUCCAUUAAAGGGCAAGUUUGGUGCCAGUAGCCAUGAUAAUUCUAGCUCUGAUCACUUAUAUUAAGUUGUUGCAGUUAAAAAGCUCGUAGUUGAAACUAGGACUAGGUCAUUUAGUCUGCCUCACAGUGAGCAUCGAUCUAUUUAUCCCUACUGUUGGUGAUGUGCUUCUGGCUUUAACUAGUUGGGUUGUUCCUCUAAUGCUGUUAUUUUAAAGAAAUUAAAGUGCUCAAAGCAAGCUUACACUUUUACACAUUAGUAUGGGAUAACAUCAUAUUAUUUCGAUCCUAUUGUGUUAGCCUUAGGGAUCGAAGUAAUGACUAACAAAGACAGUCAAGGGCAUUAUUUGUAUUUCAUAGUCAGAGGUGAAAUUCUUAGAUUUAUGAAAAAUGAACAAUUGUAAAAGCAUUUGCCAAGGAUAUUUUCAUUAAUCAAGAAUGAAAGUUAGGGGCUCAAUGACAAAUAGAUACCAUCCUAGUCUCCACCAUACAUGAUGCCAAUUAGGGAUUGAAGGAUGUUACUUUUAAGACUCUGUCAAUGCCUUAUGAGAAAUCAGAACUCUAUGGGUUUUAGGGGGUUAUGGUCACAAGGUUGAAACUUAAAAGAAUUGAUGGAAGGGUACCACCAAGAGUAGAGCCUACGGCUAAAUUUGACUCAACACGAGAAAACUUACUAGGUUGAAACAUAGUAAAGAUUGAUAGACUAAGAGCUCUUUCUUGAUGCUAUGGGUAGUGGUGCAUGGUCGUUCUUAGUUGGUAGAGCAAUUUGUCUAAUUAAUUCCAUUAACGAAUAAGACUUCAGCCUACUAACUAGCUACGUAUAGGUGAUCAUUCAUAGCUAGCUUCUUAGAGGGACUAUGGCCACUUAGGCUAAGGAAGUUUAAGGCAAUAACAAAUUUAUGAUGCCUUUAGAUGUUCUGGGCUACACACGUGCUACACUAACAUAUUCGAUGAGUUUACAGCCUUGGAUGACUAGCUCGAUAAUCUUCGAAAUUUCAUCAUUAUAGGGAUAAAUCAUUGCAAUUAUUAGUCUUUAACGAGGAAUUCCUAGUAAGUGCGAGUCAUCAGCUCGUGUUGACUACAUCCUUACCCUUUGUACACAUUACUUGUCACUUUUAUCAAUUGAAUGGUUCGGUGAAGUGUUCAGAUUACGAUGAUGUGGAUGGUUCACCACCUGUGACAUCGUGAGAAAUCCAUUGAACCUUAUCAUUUAGAAGAAGGAAAAGUUGUACCAAGGUUUUCAUAGGUGAACCUACAGAAG
rnacentral:rRNA from 1 species